AGUGAACGCUGGCGGUAGGCCUAACACAUGCAAGUCGAACGGCAGCACAGUAAGAGCUUGCUCUUACGGGUGGCGAGUGGCGGACGGGUGAGGAAUACAUCGGAAUCUACUUUUUCGUGGGGGAUAACGUAGGGAAACUUACGCUAAUACCGCAUACGACCUACGGGUGAAAGCAGGGGAUCUUCGGACCUUGCGCGAUUGAAUGAGUCGAUGUCGGAUUAGCUAGUUGGCGGGGUAAAGGCCCACCAAGGCGACGAUCCGUAGCUGGUCUGAGAGGAUGAUCAGCCACACUGGAACUGAGACACGGUCCAGACUCCUACGGGAGGCAGCAGUGGGGAAUAUUGGACAAUGGGCGCAAGCCUGAUCCAGCCAUACCGCGUGGGUGAUGAAGGCGUUCGGGUUGUAAAGCCCUUUUGUUGGGAGAGAAAAGCAGCAGGUUAAUACCCCGCUGUUCUGACGGUACCCAAAGAAUAAGCACCGGCUAACUUCGUG
rnacentral:rRNA from 1 species